GACGAACGCCGGCGGCGUGCUUAACACAUGCAAGUCGAACGGAAAGGCCCUGCUUUUGUGGGGUGCUCGAGUGGCGAACGGGUGAGUAACACGUGAGUAACCUGCCCUUGACUUUGGGAUAACUUCAGGAAACUGGGGCUAAUACCGGAUAGGAGCUCCUGCUGCAUGGUGGGGGUUGGAAAGUUUCGGCGGUUGGGGAUGGACUCGCGGCUUAUCAGCUUGUUGGUGGGGUAGUGGCUUACCAAAGCUUUGACGGGUAGCCGGCCUGAGAGGGUGACCGGCCACAUUGGGACUGAGAUACGGCCCAGACUCCUACGGGAGGCAGCAGUGGGGAAUAUUGCACAAUGGGCGGAAGCCUGAUGCAGCAACGCCGCGUGCGGGAUGACGGCCUUCGGGUUGUAAACCGCUUUCGCCUGUGACGAAGCGUGAGUGACGGUAAUGGGUAAAGAAGCACCGGCUAACUACGUG
rnacentral:rRNA from 1 species